GGGUACACCGUUUUUUUGUUGUUUUUAGAUACAAGUGACGAGAAAUUAUGAAAUGAUAUUUUAAAUUUAAACUGAUUUCAUUCAUUGAUUUAUUGUAGCGACAAUGGUAACUUGUUUAAAUAAAGAUUUUAUAAAUAAAAUAAAACAAAAAAAAAAAAAAAAAAAAAAAAAAAAAAAAAAGAAAGAAAGAAAAAAAAAGAAAAGAAAAGAAAAAAGAAAAAAGAAAAAGAAAAA
rnacentral:misc_RNA from 1 species